rnacentral:rRNA from 1 species
AUUGAACGCUGGCGGCAGGCCUAACACAUGCAAGUCGAACGAGUGGCGGACGGGUGAGUAAUGUCUGGGAAACUGCCUGAUGGAGGGGGAUAACUACUGGAAACGGUAGCUAAUACCGCAUACAAUCAGAGUUGCCCAGAUGGGAUUUGCUAGUGGGUGGGGUAACGGCUCACCAAGGCGACGAUCACUAGCUGGUCUGAGAUGAUGACCAGCCACGCUGGAACUAAGACACGGUCCAGACUCCUCCGGGAGGCAGCCGUGGGGAAUAUUGCACAGUGGGCGCAAGCCUGCUGCAGCCAUGCCGCGUGUAUGAUGAAGGCCUUCGGGUUGUAAAGUACUUUCAGCGGGGAGGCGUUACCCGCAGAAGAAGCACCGGCUAACUCCGUGCCAGCAGCCGCGGUAAUAC